UGGGGAAUAUUGCACAAUGGGCGAAAGCCUGAUGCAGCGACGCCGCGUGAGGGAUGACGGCCUUCGGGUUGUAAACCUCUUUCAGCAGGGAAGAAGCGAAAGUGACGGUACCUGCAGAAGAAGCGCCGGCUAACUACGUGCCAGCAGCCGCGGUAAUACGUAGGGCGCAAGCGUUGUCCGGAAUUAUUGGGCGUAAAGAGCUCGUAGGCGGUUAGUCGCGUCUGCUGUGAAAACUCGAGGCUCAACCUCGGGCUUGCAGUGGGUACGGGCUGACUAGAGUGCGGUAGGGGUGACUGGAAUUCCUGGUGUAGCGGUGGAAUGCGCAGAUAUCAGGAGGAACACCGAUGGCGAAGGCAGGUCACUGGGCCGCAACUGACGCUGAGGAGCGAAAGCAUGGGGAGCGAACAGGAUUAGAUAGCCCUGGUAGUCCAUGCCGUAAACGUUGGGCACUAGGUGUGGGUCCAUUCCACGGAUUCCGUGCCGCAGCAAAGCGCAUUAAGUGCCCCGCCUGGGGAGUACGGCCGCAAGGCUAAACUUAAAUGAA
rnacentral:rRNA from 1 species